ACAGCCACUUUUUAGGCCACGACUCUGACUCGGAUGUGACAGAAUGUCUGGCAACACUGCACACUGAGGCCGGAUGGAGGCAAAGCCAUUGUUAUUUCCAAGACUUCGUUUAGUACACACCACGCACUUAGUUAGUACGAGUUGGGCUCCUGAGUUACUUUCAACAGUCUCCCUUUUAGGAAGAAAAUAAUAUCAAGUUCCUGGACAAAAUGAAGUUGCUGAUGAGCACAGUUUUUCUUGUCCUCUUGCUCGUACAAGUAGGUAUUGCAAUAGAGUGCUACAGGUGUAAUGGCGACGACGUAUGCGAGAACAAAGUUCCGUGCGGCGGUUCAUGCGCCAAAACGCAUGACUUUAAUGAAGAUGAUGAUACCCGCCGCUUCUGUUCAGAUGUGAGGGAGCCAGAAGGUUCCUCGAAGCGUAUGCCAGGAGACAACGAGAACACCAAGACCUUCUUCUGCAACACUAACCUCUGCAACGGCGCCUCAGCAUUCGGGGCAAAUCGCUUUGCUAUGGUCGUCCCUGCCUUGACAGUGAUUGUGGUUGGAGCUGUGUUUGGGAAUUAAAAAGAGUUCUGGAGAAAGCAAAGGUUUAUACCAAAUUCGCUUUGGAUUCCUACCUUUUUUUUUCAAUUUUAAUUACUUAACCUUUUGUGUGUGUGUGUGUGUGUCCAGAGUUUGAUUCUUAUGCCCGUGUUCAUGGGUAUUGAAUUUUUAAAAAAUAGUUUUGUUGAUAACUGAGUAUAGCACAACAAUUUUGUUGUUGAUAACUGAGUAUAGCACAAAAAAUUGUUUUGUUGAUAACUGAGUAUAACGCUUUUUUUUGAUAACUGAGUAUAGCACAAAAAUUGUUUUUUUGAUAACUGAGUAUAGCACAAAUAUUGUUUUUUUGAUAACUGAGUAUAGCAAAAAAAUGUUUGUUUUUUUGAUAACUUGAGUAUAGCACAAAAAUUGUUUUUUGAUAACUGAGUAUAACACUUUUUUUUUAUAACUGAGUAUAGCACAAAAAUUGUUUUGUUGAUAACUGAGUAUAACACUUUUUUAUAACUGAGUAUAGCACAAAAAUUGUUUUGUUGAUAACUGAGUAUAACAUUUUUUUUUGAUAACUGAGUAUAGCACAAAAAUUGUUUUGUUGAUAACUGAGUAUAGCACAAUCAACACUUGUCUGUAAGUUCUUCUGAAAUACAAAUAAUAGUAACUGUAAUGUGUAGCAUAAUCAUUGUUAGACUAUAUCUGAUCUUUAUCACUAAUACACCCUGAAAGGUUUUCAAAGGGUACCAUAAUCCUUAUGGAGAAAUGUUAAUUUCUUGCAAAAAAAAGAAAAAAAACUUUUGAAAAAUA